UACGUAGGUGGGCAAGCGUUGUUCGGAUUUACUGGGCGUAAAGGGUUCGUAGGUGGCCAACUAAGUCAGACGUGAAAUCCCUCAGCUCAACUGGGGAACUGCGUCUGAUACUGGUUGGCUUGAGUGCAGGAGAGGAACGCGGAAUUCCAGGUGUAGCGGUGAAAUGCGUAGAUAUCUGGAGGAACACCGGUGGCGAAGGCGGCGUUCUGGACUGCAACUGACACUGAAGAACGAAAGCCAGGGGAGCAAACGGG
rnacentral:rRNA from 1 species